rnacentral:misc_RNA from 1 species
GAGAGUAUGUACAUACGUCCUACUUCGUAGGUCGCGUCGCCUGGCUCGUUUCGCCGGCUGCCAAUACCGGCGCUUCAACCAGUGCAGGGAGCCAAGCGGCAGGGACAGACCCGUUGCCUUUCAGUAGUCGCCGUCAGUCUGGCGCAAGUCGCGUCCGAAGUAGGUACGUGUUCAGUGAUACGUGAUUGUGGUGUUUGCCGGGCGUGUGUACAGUUUCCUUUUUUCAAAAGUUAUUCGCUACCUCGCGAAUUCCGGUGUUGAUAAUAUAGCAGAAAAAUUUUGAAAACCUUUUAAAAAAAAACUGCACCGUACCGAGGGCAGUGACGAAAAAAACGUCCAAACUCCGGCGUCCCAUUCUCGGAAAUUAAAGGGAAAAAUAGCCGAAAAAAAAAAAACACCGUGGGAAACUGGAAGGUGUAUCUUUUCUCGUCCGUUUUCUUUUUGCCGUAUAGAUUUUUUCGUUGGUUAAUUUUUUUUUUGUUAUUCGUAAAAAGUAACGAUGAUCGGUGAGUGCCGGGAUGUUGCGGGUGUAGUACCGAUGUGACGCACGAUUUUAAAAAAAGGGACAUUUUCUUUCGGAGUUACACGGCGCGAUCGUCGAGAUCGUCGUUUUGAAUAAUUUAUUCCUCGUUGCGUUCGUAUUAAAAAAAAAAAAAAAAAAACUACACGAGUGUACGAAAGAACGGAAAAGAAAAGAGACCGAAGGUACGUUGUACGAUAAAUAAUAACGAUAGUGUUAAAACAGAGGACAAGUUUAUUGUGAUUUUUGACCGUGCCCUGGCGUGGUUGUUUACAAUUUUACGCCCGGAGACUUACUAACACCCGAGUUUAGAAAGGUCGAGGAGAUAUUUCGCUCGUUGUAGCGUGUAACGAUGAAUUCCAUGUGUCCAUCUCCAUCGUCAUCAUCAUCGUCGUCGUUGUCAUUAUCGUCAUUAUUAUCGUCAUCAUCGUUUUAUUUUUAUUUAACGAGUCUUAAAAUUCUACGAAACUUUGUUCGUCCAACGAUCGUGGGCGUUUAAUUGAUAUUUGCUGUGUGUGUCCGGCGAGAGAAUGAAAGAUUGAAAAAAUUGAGAGAAAAAAAAAAAAUAAUCCAAUGCAAAGUAAGCCAAACGUAAGACGUACCUGAGAAUUUUAAACGAAGAGAGGCAAAAAAAGGCGUCUACGAAAUAUUUCAGUGCGCUUGUGGAAUUUCAACGAAUAUAAAUAAUUCAUUGUAAUCGCUAUAAUUAAUUAUGUAAUAAGAAAUUUAUAGUGCGUGCGUGUGUUAACGAUAAAUUUUUAGUUCGAGUGUCGAUUUUUGUCCCCCUGUUUUUUGUGUUGGAAAAUUUUCUUUUAUCGUACGAAUUACAACAUCGGAUUUUUAUUUAUGUUUUCAUGUGUUUGGUUUUACUUUUAUGUUCACAGGGUGAAAAUUGUUAGUUUUGUGUAAACUGAUUAUAAAAAAAAAAAAAAAAAAAAAAAAAAAAAAAUGAUCAAAUUAUCGGACGAUGAUUUCGGAGCUAUUUUUUAACGACGAGAUGCUGAUAUUGCAGGAAAUAAAAAAAAGGACUGGUAAUCCAAACGGUGUUUCGUACAACUGGAAAUUUUUGAAGAAUUAACAAAUAAAUAAAUUUUCUAAUAAAAACCGAUUGGUCUCUACUGAGUUUUUGCUUUCCGAUUAUCUUUUGAAAAAAUAACAAAACAAUGACUGUACAAAACAAUCGAAUCUUCGAUGACUCCGGAGUCUGAAAUCGUUGUUAAAGAUUCACUUCGUGUGAAUGAGAAAAAAAAGAAAAAACCAAAAAACAUGAGAUCGAGUUCGCCACUGCAGAACUUGUGCGGAGAGAGAAUAUAAAAAAAAAAAAAAAAAUAAAGAAAACCAAAAUAAUCUCGGUUGAUUGAAGAAAAAAAAUCUUUUCCAAGUUAUAUAAAAAAAAACUAAUCGAAAUAUCUGCGGCUGCUCAUCACGCAGCAGAUUUACAACGAAUCAUAUAUUCAUAUAUGCCAAUACACGCCCAUAAAUCGCGGGUGCAGCAGACGAAGGUUGAGGAAAUCGAAAUGGUGGAGCUGAAUAGUGGGAGCGGGGGUCAGCAGCAAGCCCCCGCUUUGCAGCAACAACAACAACAACAACAACAACAACAACAACAACAACAGCAACAUCAGCAAGGUGGUUUAAAUUCAACGUCGACUACGUCGGGUACGUCCGGUGUAGCGCAGGUUUCGUUGUCGGGAUCAACCGGCGCCGUUCCUCCUUCUGGUGUAUUGGGUAUAGGGCGUGCGGGAGUUUUGGAAACGCAAGUGCGCGGUCAGUGGUACAGAGUAUUCGUGUCCCUCGAGGACGAUUAUCUGAGCAUAACGUUGGACGAGAGUUGUGAGAACGCCAGUUCGUUGAACGGCAAUAUAAACAACAACAACAUAGACAGUCUGAACGAUCCGGACGUACCGGACAGCGUGGCAAAUCAGAAGCGUAUAGUGCGCGUCGUUAAGAGCGACAAUAACGGACUGGGCAUAUCCAUAAAGGGCGGCAAGGAGAACAAAAUGCCCAUUCUGAUAUCGAAGAUAUUCAAAGGUAUGGCAGCCGAUGCCACCGAACAACUUUACGUAGGGGACGCUAUCCUUGCCGUUAACGGAGAGGACCUCAGGGAAGCUACGCACGACGAGGCGGUCAAGGCUUUGAAACGGGCCGGCAAGGUCGUCGAGCUGGAAGUAAAGUACCUGAGGGAAGUGACGCCGUACUUUCGCAAGGCUUCGAUAAUCCAAGAGGUCGGAUGGGAGCUCCAAAGAGGAUUUUUGAGCGCCGCUCCGCCGCCACCGAAAUCACCACCCAGAGCGGACACUCGAUAUCUUCCUUUGCAACUCUGCAGAUUGACCAGAAGUCAUCCGUCGUCCGAUCCCGAGGGCCGUACCCUGGAGUUACAUUCGCCGGACGGUGUUCACGAGUGUUGGUUGAAGGCGUUGGAUAACGCGGAAGCCAACGCAUGGUUCAACGCGUUACAUUCCGCCCUGGCUGCGCUAACGCAGAAAGCCUUGAGGCUCGCAUCCGCGCUACCCGACCCUCCGCAACUGCAACACAUCGGAUGGCUGGCCAGAAGACACUGUCUACAGUUACAGAAUGGACGUGGCAGCAGCGAGAGCAGCGAAGACGGAGCCGGAAGUAGCGCCAGCACGUCCCGAGGUGCCGGCGGAAGUGGCUUCGGUAUGGGGAUGACCGGCGGAUGCAGCGGCGGGUGGCGCAGCGUUUUCGGCGCCGUAUCCGGUCGAGAAUUGAGGCUCUACGAAUGCGCUCCGUGGAGCCCGGAAGCCUGGGCAUCGCCCAGCAUCACGUGUCCCCUCAUCGCCACGAGGCUGGUGUCUUCGUCCACUCCACGGCAAGGCGAAGCUGCGGCCGGCAGUAGUUCCGGCGUUGCUAGCCAGACCCAACACGGCGGUACAUUCGCCGUACGCGUCGGUACCAUAGACGGUGUGGUAACUCAUCAUCUACGAGCCGAAACUAGAAGAGAUCUGGCCGCCUGGGCGAGAGCGAUCGUCCAGGGCUGUCACACCGCCGCACACUCGUUGAGGGAAUACGCCGUUCGAUGCGUUUGGCAAGGACGAGUUUGUCAGCUGGUAGUUCACCACGAAGAAGGUUUCGCCCUCUACGCCGCUGGUUCCAGGUCAGUCGGAAGCGGGGUCAGUCCGGGAUCGGCACCUGCUCCAUUAUGGAGAAGGUCAUUCGACAAAUUGAGAUUAUCGGCCGACGACAGCAAUCGAUUACUCUGGUUGGAUUUCGACGGCGAGGACGGAGAAAUCGAGCUUGAUCUGGAGAGUUGUCCGAAGCCGAUGGUGUUCGUUUUGCACAAUUUUCUUUCGGCUAAGAUUCAUCGUCUCGGUUUAACCGCAUAGGGGUACGCGGGGGCUUCGUCGGAGCCCCCCGACCUGCCACCCCACACAACGAGAAGGAGAAUGAGCAGCCUCAGAGCAACUCUGCCUUGCAUCAUGAACACGAGACGCGUCAGUGCGACUCUGGAAUUGUGAAUGAACUAUAUGAAUGAGUUUUAAUGUACAUAAGAUUAUCCCGUGUACAAUUUGCUUCUGAAAAUAUCGAAUGGAUUAUUGGAUGAUAGUCGAAAGACGAGUAUUGUCUACGCUAUUAUGAUUGAUUAUGAUUGAGAAAGAAAUA